rnacentral:misc_RNA from 1 species
CGACAUGACAUUUGUUAUCUACAUAAAAAUCUUAUAGGUGAUAACUAUGCCCAGAAAAUUGAUUCAGUAUCACACUGUUGCUAAUCUUUUAUUCAUUAUGAACUCUAAUUUUUUAUGCCCAAAAGAAACAAUUCUCAACUAUUCCCUUGAUAAAUAAAGCCUCAGUACCAAUAAUUAAAAACUUUUCAUCUUUUGAUAGUACCAUAAAAUCUUUUGAUUGGCUUAAGGGAUACUAGUGGUCUUCACAGCAAUGACAGGUCAUGAAGCUUUUCUAUUGCAUUCAGCAUAUUAUUCCAGUGGCAACUCUCAUGAUUAUAUCUUUUUGACUUUACCAAAUCUUGCUUUACCAAAGAUCAAAAAGCUAGAUCUGAGAGAUCGUGUAUUGAUACAUCGAGCAUAACAUUGUCAUCUGUGUAUAUCAAGAAUAGUCUUAUAUGCUGAGUGUCACACUUCGUAAUCAAUAGCCACUACAACAAACAUAGCUUGAACUAAGGAGAUGUUGACAAUUUCGUAACUUGUUGCAACUGCCUUGUCCCCUUUCUAUAUCUGCAACAGAAUUUCAAUUUAUGUCACCUUUCCCAAACUCAUCAUGUGGGAAACCUCUUCCACAAUCAAAAUAAAGUACUUCGG